rnacentral:rRNA from 1 species
GCAAAUUACCCAAUCUAGACAGUAGGAGGUGGUGAAGAAAAUUACUAAGUGGCGGUCUUGAGUACCCCUCUUGGAGUGAACGUAACUUACACAAUUCGUUGAAAAACAACUGGAGGGCAAGUCCUGGUGCCCACAGCCGCGGUAAUUCCCGCUCCUGUAGUUUGCUUUAAAGUUGUUGCGUUUAAAACGCUCGUAGUUGGAUCAUGCAUUCACCACAGUAGUCCCUGCAGAAAGCCCUGUGUGCGCCGUAUCUCAAAGGGAUGCUGUGCCCCUGCUGUGACAAAAAUUGCUGGCGUGGGUUAAUUAAUCGUGAGAGAAAGGGUCAAUUAAUUUUCCCGAGGGAUGGGUGAAUAAAAUAGAGUGGUCAAAGCAGGGGCCACGCCUGAAUGUUGUAGCAUGGGACGAACAAACGUGUAUACGCGUAUAUCGUGCGAAGUGAAUGUGCGUCUGGUGCGUGUACUUGGCUGACGUUACACUUCACCCACCAAGUAAUAGCGGUGGGUUUUAUAUACGGUGAUGAUUAAGAGGAGCGGUUGGGGGCAUCGGUAUUUGGCCGCGAGAGGUGAAAUUCAAGGACCGUCCAAGGACUAACAAAUGCAAAGGCAUUUGUCCAGACCGUUUCCAUUAAUCAAGAACGAAAGUGGGAGGUUCGAAGACGAUCAGAUACCGUCGUAGUUCCCACCGUAAACUAUGCCGACUUGGGAUCAGUCCAGAGAUAUCACAAGCUCCAAAUUGGUCGCCAAGGGAAACUUCAAGUUUUUCGGUUACGGGGAGAGUAUGGUCGCAAGUCUGAAAUUUAAAGGAAUUGACGGAAGGGCACCACCAGGGGUGGAGCCUGCGGCUUAAUUUGACUCAACACGGGGAAACUUACCUGGUCCAGGACGUCGAUAGGGAGAACAACCGGACUGAUAGUAUCUUUGUUGGAUGCGG